GCCUGGGUGGCUCAGUCAGUUGAGCGUCUGACUUCAGCUCAGGUCAUGAUCUCGCGGUCCGUGGGUUCGAGCCCUGCGUCGGGCC
rnacentral:tRNA from 1 species